GACGAACGCUGGCGGCGUGCUUAACACAUGCAAGUCGAACGCUGAAGCUUGGUGCUUGCCCUGGGUGGAUGAGUGGCGAACGGGUGAGUAAUACGUGAGUAACCUGCCCUUGACUCUGGGAUAAGCCUGGGAAACUGGGUCUAAUACUGGAUACGACAUGUCACCGCAUGGUGGUGUGUGGAAAGGGUUUUACUGGUUUUGGAUGGGCUCACGGCCUAUCAGCCUGUUGGUGGGGUAAUGGCUCACCAAGGCGACGACGGGUAGCCGGCCUGAGAGAGUGACCGGCCACACUGGGACUGAGACACGGCCCAGACUCCUACGGGAGGCAGCAGUGGGGAAUAUUGCACAAUGGGCGGAAGCCUGAUGCAGCGACGCCGCGUGAGGGAUGACGGCCUUCGGGUUGUAAACCUCUUUCAGCACGGAAGAAGCGAAAGUGACGGUACGUGCAGAAGAAGCGCCGGCUAACUACGUG
rnacentral:rRNA from 1 species